CCUACGGGUGGCUGCAGUGAGGAAUAUUGGUCAAUGGGCGUAAGCCUGACCCAGCCAAGUCGCGUGAGGUAUGAAGGUUCUAUGGAUCGUAAACCUCUUUUAUACGGGAAUAAAGUGUGGGACGUGUCCUCUUUUGUAUGUACCUUAUGAAUAAGGAUCUGCUAACUCCGUGCCAGCAGCCGCGGUAAUACGGAGGAUACGAGCGUUAUCCGGAUUUAUUGGGUUUAAAGGGUGCGUAGGCGGCCUUUUAAGUCAGCGGUGAAAGACUGUGGCUCAACCAUAGAAUUGCCGUUGAAACUGGGGGGCUUGAGUAUGUUAGAGGCAGGCGGAAUGCGUGGUGUAGCGGUGAAAUGCUUAGAUAUCGCGCAGAACCCCGAUUGCGAAGGCAGCCUGCCAAGCCAUGACUGACGCUGAUGCACGAAAGCGUGGGGAUCAAACAGGAUUAGAUACCCGUGUAGUC
rnacentral:rRNA from 1 species